GCGUUGCACUUAAGAGUGCCUUCGCAGACCAGUCAAGCUUUAAGAGCGAAAGCGGUUUGUGUUCUAUUCUUAUUUUCCUUAAAACAUCAAAUGUUACAAAGUCGCUGCCAAUUUUAUGGGCAAAAAUCAAAGUGUUUUCUCUACUCUCUACCAUGGAACUCUCUUCCCGCCGGCCAUCUUAAGCCACACCUCCUCCGCUAAGCUUCUGAGACCACCUCUCACUUUCUCAUAGUUAGGUUUUUGCUUCCUUGGAGAACAUCAAUCGCCUUUUCUUCUCCUCCUCGAUUUCGAAGUACGGUGUCUCAAUCUCAGCAUCACGAAUCAAUGUCCU
rnacentral:lncRNA from 1 species